GAUGAACGCUGGCGGCGUGCCUAAUACAUGCAAGUCGAGCGAACGGACGAGAAGCUUGCUUCUCUGAUGUUAGCGGCGGACGGGUGAGUAACACGUGGAUAACCUACCUAUAAGACUGGGAUAACUUCGGGAAACCGUAGCAAAUACCGGAUAAUAUUUUGAACCGCAUUGGUCAAAAGUGAAAUACGGUGGUGCUGGAACGUCUAGAUGGAUCCGCGCUUCAUUGGCUAGUUGGUAAGGUAACGGCUUACCAAGGGAACGAGGCAUAGCCGACGGGUGAGGGGGAUGGCCGACACUGGAACGGAGCCACGCUCCAGAGUCCUACGGGAGGCACCAGAAGGGAACCUGCGGCAACGGGGGAAAGCCUGACGGAGCAAGGCGGCGCGAGUUAUAACGGUCUUCGGUGCGUAAAACCCUGUUUUUGGGGAAGAACAGAUGUGGAAUGAAAUGUGCACAGCGUGACGGUAACUAAUAAGAAAGCCACGGCUAACUACGUG
rnacentral:rRNA from 1 species